UGCCAGCCGCCGCGGUAAUACGAAGGGUGCAAGCGUUGUUCGGAAUUAUUGGGCGUAAAGCGUGCGUAGGCGGACUAUUAAGUCUGAUGUGAAAUCCCUCGGCUCAACCGAGGACCUGCAUUGGAUACUGGUAGUCUUGAGUCCCGGAGAGGAUAGCGGAAUUCCUAGUGUAGAGGUGAAAUUCGUAGAUAUUAGGAGGAACACCAGUGGCGAAAGCGGCUAUCUGGACGGUGACUGACGCUGAGGCACGAAAGCAUAGGUAGCAAACAGGAUUAGAUA
rnacentral:rRNA from 1 species